rnacentral:rRNA from 1 species
ACUUAAUAACUUUGUGAAGAGGUGAUCUGGGUAAAACCAGGUCAAUUUAAACUUAUGUGAAAACCACAUAACUAAGUAAUUGGUUGAUAAAUCAAUCUAAAUUUUCAACGAUGGAUGUCUUGGUUCCCAUAACGAUGAAGAACGCAGCAAGAAUGCGAUAUGCAAUGUGAAUUGCAGAACUACGAAUCAUUUGAUCUUUGAACGCAAAUGGCACUGAGCUAUCUCAGUAUACUUGUUUCAGUGUGCCUAACCAAAUUAAAACUAAAUGUGAGAGAAAAUUCUCUCAUCAAAUAAAUGCUCCAAGUAGCAGUCACAUUUUUAUGUGAGCUAUUUUGCGAGGAAACUGACUUAUUUGCACCUGAAAUCAAGUAAGAUCACCCGCUGGACUUAAGCAUAUUACUAAGCGGAGGAAAAGAAAUUAACUAAGAUUGCCUUAGUAAGGGCGACUGAACCGGCAAAAGCUCAAAAUUAAAAUCGAAAAUUCAAAGAAUUUUCGAAUUGUAAUCAGGGUACCUAAAAUACAAAAAGUCACUCAAGAGUAUUGAACGACUCGCCAAAGAGGGUAAUAGCCCCGUGCAGUGAUUUUUUGAACAUAGGAACUCGAACAAGAGUCGUGUUGCUUGGAACUGCAGCACUAAGUGGGAGAUAUGAUUCUUCCAAAGCUAAAUAUCGAUGGGAGACCGAUAGCGAACAAGUACUGUGAAGGAAAGAUGAAAAGGACUUUGAAAAGAGAGUGAAAAGAUCUGAAAUCGUUGAGAAAGGAAGCUGUUAAAACUGAUCGAGGCCAUGAUGGUACAAUGCAACCAAAAAUUGCAAAGUAUCUACCAAAAGCCCUGGACAAAAUGAAACUAAUUGGAUCAAAAAAGGUUCAAACCGAAUAAGAUCUAAUUAGUUUAAGGGACUACGGUGAUUUUGUCUAAAAGGUUUAACCGACCCG